GAGUCGAGAGGGUUCGGCCCUCGGCGUACUGCUCAGUAACACGUGGAUAACCUGCCCUAAGGAAGGGGAUAAUCCCGGAAACUGGGGAUAAUACCCUAUAGAUUACAGAUGCUGGAAUGCCCUGUAAUCAAAAGUUCCGACGCCUUAGGAUGGAUCUGCGGCCGAUUAGGUUGUUGUUGGGGUAAUGGCCCAACAAGCCAGUAAUCGGUACGGGUUGUGGGAGCAAGAGCCCGGAGUUGGAUUCUGAGACACGAAUCCAGGCCCUACGGGGCGCAGCAGGCGCGAAAACUUUACAAUGCGGGCAACCGUGAUAAGGGAACCUCGAGUGCCUGUAUACGCAGGCUGUCCAGGUGCCUAAAACACACCUGAAGAAAGGGCCGGGCAAGACCGGUGCCAGCCGCCGCGGUAAUACCGGCGGCUCGAGUGGUGGCCGCUUUUAUUGGGCUUAAAGCGUUCGUAGCUGGUUUGUUAAGUCUCUUGGGAAAUCUGGCGGCUUAACCGUCAGGCGUCUAAGGGAUACUGGCAAUCUUGGAACCGGGAGAGGUGAGGGGUACUUCGGGGGUAGGAGUGAAAUCCUGUAAUCCUCGAGGGACCACCUGUGGCGAAGGCGCCUCACCAGAACGGCUUCGACAGUGAGGGACGAAAGCUGGGGGAGCAAGCCGGAUUAGAUACCCGGGUAGUCCCAGCCGUAAACGAUGUGCGUUAGGUGUAUCGACGACCACGAGUCGUCGAGGUGCCGAAGGGAAACCGUGAAACGUACCGCCUGGGAAGUACAGUCGCAAGGCUGAAACUUAAAGGAAUUGGCGGGGGAGCA
rnacentral:rRNA from 1 species